CGUUAUGUUACUGUGAAUAUUCCUGGAGAUUUAAGGACUCUUACUCUGUGUGAGGUGGAGGUCUAUGGAGAAGGUCCUUUACUGAAGAGAACUUUCCUGAAGAUGAAACUGAAGUCCAGUUGGAGUCUGUCUGAUCCUGCGGUGAGAGUCCAGCUCCUGUCACAGCUCCAGUCUGUUUUGGUGGAACGAGGGUUUUCUGACGUGACGC